UUAGGACCACAUCUGCUUUGGAAGACUGUAAACUCUAUUUAAAAGACUAUACUCAAAAUUGUAGUUUUAUUGUAGUCAAACUGUUCUUGAAGUCUAAUGAGCUGAUUCAGUUCUGCAAGGUACAGCUCAAUAAUGCCUAAUAAAAGCAUUGCUGUUGACCUUCCAGAGCCUGUACAGGAAUGGAAGCCCUUUUAGUGACAUCCAGCCUGGAGGAGAGCUGAGAUGUUGGUGGCACCUGGCUUUACAAGUGGGAAGAUUCUGUCAGCUGUUCCAUUAAAUACUCCCUGGGCCCUGUGGUGCUGGAGUUGAUGUUCUACCAAGCAGAGGACCGCUGACAGUGCCAGACAGAGAGGGUGGUUGUCCUUGGCAGCUGAGCUGUAAGUAGCUUUUUGUCAAAUCCUCUUGAGAAGGUUCUAUCCUAAAGUUUUUUUUUUUUUUUAAAUUGUUGUUGUUU
rnacentral:lncRNA from 1 species